rnacentral:rRNA from 1 species
UACGUAGGGGGCGAGCGUUGUUCGGAUUUACUGGGCGUAAAGGGCGCGCAGGCGGCAGAUCAAGUCAGACGUGAAAGCCCCCGGGCUUAACCUGGGAACUGCGUUUGGGACUGGUUUGCUAGAGAUCGGGAGAGGAGAGUGGAAUUCCCAGUGUAGAGGUGAAAUUCGUAGAUAUUGGGAAGAACACCGGUGGCGAAGGCGGCUCUCUAGACCGAUACUGACGCUGAGGCGCGAAAGCGUGGGGAGCAAACAGG